AAUGAAUAAAUAUUUUUAAUAAAAGUAAGAAUGGGGCCCUGAGAGGUGGUGGCACACGCCUUUAAUCCCAGCACUCAGGGGCCCGAGGCAGGAGGAUCUCUGUGAGUUCAAGUCCAGCCUCGUCUAUGAAGGGAGAUCCAAGACAGCCACAGCCACACAGAAAAAUCCUAGACAGCGGGGGAAGUGGACGUGUUUAGGAAGGGUCUUUGGAGAAACUUCCAUCUCUGUCGUCUGGAAACCAGCAGUUGACUUCACAGCCCAGCAGGUCAGCUCGAUCCAUUCACAAACACUUCACAGGUAGACCAGCAGUCCAGUGUGGUAGAGUCGGGUUAGCAACAGUAAUGGUCCAAACUAGCAAAGGCGGCAAGUCUCAGCCUCAGCUUGAGUCAGUUGGAAGGACCAACAGGAACAGCAGGAGAGGUUCUCAGCUGCACCUCUCUCAGGAAAGCAAAGAUCAGAGAAGACUCAAGACCCACAAGCAUUGCACAGCUAGCUGUACUAGCAAGCCAAGCUCUGUCUCCAUCACUCCAGGGAGUCCUGUUUAUACCCUCCUGUGGGGUGAGUUUGAGCUACACUGCUGUGUGCUCCCGGUAGGUCAUGCUUCCAGCCACCUGCCCAGGGAAACUUUGGAUCCAUGAAUGAAACACACACACACACACACACACACACGCACACACGUACACACGCACACACGCACACACCCACACUAGCUUAUUUUUGUUUUUGGUUCUUUUUUUUCGGAGCUGGGGACCGAACCCAGGGCCUUGCGCUUCCUAGGUAAGCGCUCUACCACUGAGCUAAAUCCCCAGCCUCACACUAGCUUAUUUUUGAAAUGCCUUGGCUACCUCAAAGCUGAGCACUCCUAAACCUUCCCCUGCUAGUAUGCUUUUCCCUCCUGUACUCCUGGCACAACACCUUCUAAGUCUACUUUUAACUUUGCUGCCCUGUUACCUUCAGUGAGGUCCAAUGGUCUUUGCUGCUGCCCAAGACGCUUCUGGGCAGCCCUCCCGGGGCCGCUUUCUUUUUACACCUAGGUUUCGGAUGCUCUUCCCUCUGAAGCUCUAAAUCUCAUCCAUCUCCCCCACACACACACCAACCCCCAAGUCGUGGCAAUUCUGUGACUCUACGUCUUCUCGUCUUCUCCUCUCUCCUGUGUCCCAGCCCACCAACUCUAAGGGUCCCACCCCGUCUCCCUUUGCCCAACCAUUGGUUGCUGCCAUUUUUAUUGAUUGUUCAAAAACCAGUUGGGGACAAGGACCUUUAGUGUUUGUACACGAAGAUUCCCAACUGAAUCAAAGCAUUAGAACCAAUCUCUAACACCCUCCAAACAUCGUGUGUCCUCCACGUGCCUUGCCUCAGCACAUGCCUCCAAUCUGCCCACGUCUGGGGAGUCCCAACAAACGAAACUCAACUAUGCAAUGUAAGGCGGACCAAUACCUGCGUGUUGUUAGCGAAGAAUCCCCCAUCACGUGUCCUUUCACGUGCUUGAUUUAGCAGAACAUCCUCUCUCCUGUGUGUGCUUCAGCAAAAUGUUCCUUCACGAGUCUGCCUUAGCCUUUCACAUGUGUCCACUUUAAUGAAACGUUCCUUCACGCAUUCACCCCAGCAAAACACCAUCCAAAUAACUUUGCAAAGAACGCUUAAGUUUCUACUUCACCCCAGAAAUGCCAUUUUUUAAGUCUAACGUGUGGCAGGCCUUUUCCAUGGGUUGCAGCAACAUCUGAGAUAUCCCCCAGGCUCUUCUCCCAGUGCCCACCCAUCAGAGAGGACAGAUAGGCAGGAAGCAUAGAAUUGUGCAAUAAAUCCAUCAUGGCAAUAAACGGGGCAUGCUGCCAACGAAAAGCACCAAGUAAGCUGGGUGUGGUGGCGCGUGCCUGUCACCCAGCACUCUGGAGGGUGAAGCAAGU
rnacentral:lncRNA from 1 species